rnacentral:rRNA from 1 species
CUAAGCGUACACGGUGGAUGCCCUGGCAGUCAGAGGCGAUGAAGGGCGUGCUAAUCUGCGAUAAGCGCCGGUAAGGUGAUAUUAACCGUUAUAACCGGCGAUACCCGAAGGGGGAAACCCAGUGUGAUUCGUCACACUAUCAUUAACUGAAGCUAUAGGUUAAUGAGGCGAACCGGGGGAACUGAAACAUCUAAGUACCCCGAGGAAAAGAAAUCAACCGAGAUUCCCCCA